GGGAAUGUGGCUUAGUGGUAGAGUGCUUGCCCAGCAUGCAUGAAGCCCUGGGUUCAAUUCCUCAGUACCA
rnacentral:tRNA from 1 species